GCGCUCAGUUCUGCAGCACACACACUAACAUUGGACAGAUACAGAGAUUAGUAUGUCCCCUGAAAGAGGAUGACACACAAAUUUGUGAAGCAUCCCAUGUUUUU